CCUACGGGAGACUGCAGUGAGGAAUAUUGGUCAAUGGCCGUAAGGCUGAACCAGCCAAGUCGCGUGAAGGAAGAAGGAUCUAUGGUUUGUAAACUUCUUUUAUAGGGGAAUAAAGGUAUCCACGUGUGGAUCUUUGCAUGUACCCUAUGAAUAAGCAUCGGCUAACUCCGUGCCAGCAGCCGCGGUAAUACGGAGGAUGCGAGCGUUAUCCGGAUUUAUUGGGUUUAAAGGGUGCGUAGGUUGUUUUUUAAGUCAGCGGUGAAAGUUUGUGGCUCAACCAUAAAAUUGCCGUUGAAACUGGAAGACUUGAGUGUGUUUGAGGUAGGCGGAAUGCGUGGUGUAGCGGUGAAAUGCAUAGAUAUCACGAAGAACUCCGAUUGCGAAGGCAGCUUACUAAGCCAUAACUGACACUGAAGCACGAAAGCGUGGGGAUCAAACAGGAUUAGAUACCCCAGUAGUC
rnacentral:rRNA from 1 species